UUUUAAUUAGUAUAUAAAGUAUAGUUACCUUCCAAGUAAAAGGACUAAUUUUGAU
rnacentral:tRNA from 1 species